GAGAGCUCCAAGUGGGCCA
rnacentral:snRNA from 1 species